GGGAGGUGCAAGCUUCCCACCAUCAUCCCACAGGAGUGCCACUGAACAUGCACCUGGUUUUGAAAUAGCUUCCUCUGGGGCAGCCCUGGUGGCCUCCAGCCCCUGCCAUCAUCUUGGAUCCAGCCGCAAGAGCUGUGGCAUUGAGGGAUCAAUGGUGGUAUACACCUACCCCACACUCCUGGGGGCCCAAGAACACAGUAAAUGUCAACUUCUCAUCUUCUCUAAAUAAACAAAGCUCAGCACAGGCACAGUGAUGUCUCCAGGUGGAGACUUUCAGAAGGUGUGGAUCAAAUUCUCCAACCAAAUUAGAGGGACAGGUGAUGGACAGCUCCCUACUAACCCUUUGCUUUUGCUCUUUUACAGCUUUUCUGACUCUUCAGUGAUGUAUUUCGCCAUGGAGAUAUGUUUUCAAUAACCUUGCAUGUUCGGAGAUGAUCCCGAAUCACCCCAUCCUUACAGUACUGUCCAGGAUGGCAGGGCCUGGAAUCAGUCAGCAAAGAGAGGUCACGAGGGAGCAGGGGAGGAGGAGAGGCUGAUAGAGAAGGCAGCUAAGGCUGCAGACAGCCUCACUCCUUCCUCGGGGGUGGAAAUUGCAAACAUGUGCCUUCCUGCAUAGCUCUGUCUAUGGCUGAUACUUGCUUUGAUGGGAAUAUCAAGGCCUCAGGAGUUUGAGGAUUGAAAGUCUUCAUGUAGGAUCAGAAUGGCCUCGCCAGGAAAAGAAGGCUUGCUUAGCUUUAAGCUGCUUUGGGUGCUGGGGCGACGGGGUAGGGGGAGCACCCCAUGCUUUCUGUCUUCUGUCCCCAACAGCCAUAGAGAAACUGUAUAUGUUUUCGGCCUGAGAGCUACUCAGAAUUCUACGAGGGUGCAAGUAGAGACGCCUGUGGUUUCCUUGCACACUUGCUAAUACCCUUAUCCUUGCAAGCACACCACAGUGAGAGAGUGGUCAGGAGAGGACAAAUAGGACAAGAGUGGAAGCCCCUUCCUCUGUUCAUAGUUAGAUGACACACUCCUGGGGAGCUGGGUUUGUCUGUCUGGGACAUGGCAGUGCCAGUUCUUGGGUAGCUCCCACAUAUUCCCUUGCAGGGAAGAUGUGAAUGCUGUGUUUACAGAGGAGGGCAUGGUCUUCCACACAUCAUGUCUAUGGGUUGACCCACCUGUGAUCAUCUCUGGGAGAAGUCUAUCUGCUUCUGGCCACUUCAUUCCCACCCAGUCCCAUCAGAGUGCAGCAGUGUGUCUGCAUACAUGUUUCUUACAAUUCCUGUACCAAGGGUUGGUGAUAAUGCAGCCAGCCUGGGCUGUAGAUGACUUGCUGCUGUAUCGUAUAAGAAAACCCCUGGUCCCUGAAAUGGACAGAGUGAAGGCCGGACUGUUGAGCAGAAGGCCCCAACACACUCCAUAGUUUCCAUCAUCACCUACACUUUGGGCAGAAUCAUUAUUCCAGACUACUUUUUUUUUUUUUUUUUUUUGAGACAGAGUCUCGCUCUUGUCAUCCAGGCUGGAGUGCAAUGGUGUGAUCUCGGAUCAUUGCAACCUCAACCUCCCAGGUUCAAGCAAUUCUGCUGCCUCAGCCUCCCAAGUAACUGGGAUUACAGGCCUGCACUACCAUGCCUGGCUAAUUUUGUAUUUUUAGUAGAGACGGGGUUUCACUCUGUUGGUCAGGCUGAUCUCUAAGUCCUGACCUAAAGCGAUCCACCCACCUUGGCCUCCCAAAGUGCUGAGAUUAUAGGUGUGAGCCACUGCACCUGGCCCAGGCUACAUUUUUAAAAAUACCCUUAACCCUCCUCCAGUUCCUCAUGGCAACCAGAGUAGAAUCAAGAGGAUUACCAAACAGAGCUUCAUUUGGAUACCUCAUCUAGUAGACAGAAAAUUAUUUCUCAUUGGCAUCACUGCUUUUCUUAAAUAAACUCAACCUCAGAUUAUUCUUUUUGUUUUCUCAAUCGGUGGUUUAGGGCAGUGAGAUAUGUUUUGUGACAUCUUUUUUUUUUUUUUUUUGAGAUCGACUCUCACACUGUUGCCCAGGCUGGAGUGCAGUGGCACGAUACUGGCUCACUGCAACCUCUGUCUCCUGGGUUAAAGUGAUUCUCCUGCCUCAGCCUCCUGAGUAGCUCAGAUUACAGGUGCCUGCCACCAUGCCUAGCUAUUUUUUUUUUUUUAAGUAGAGAUGGGGUUUUACCAUAUUGGUCAGGCUAUUCUCGAACUCCUGACCUCAUGAUCAGCCUGCCUCGGCCUCCCAAACUGCUGGGAUUACAGGCGUGUGCCACUGUGCCUGGCCUGUGAUGUCUUUUUGAUUUGUUCACUAUUGCUCUACUGAGGUUAUGUGGUCACUUUGUCUUUUGGUUUGGUGAAUCCCCUGUUGGGUGCUGGCAGCACUGUCCCCUAUACGGAAGGUCUGUGAUGAGCCUGAGGCCUCGUGCCUUCACCUGUCUGUGCCUAUCCAAUGCUAUUCUCUUUCUUGGGCACAGUCUCCUAGGCUGCUGCUAUUCCUCUUGUAAAGCAGGCACAGUAUUAUGUGGCUUGUGUCUUCUCCAAUUCAGUGGCCUCUCCACAGAUUAUCUGUGGCCUCUGGGGAAAGGUAUUGGGGUCCCAGCACUCUGUUAUGGGAUGGCGGCUGAGGCCUGGCUGCAGGUCUGCCUGUAGGGUCCCCAGUGGUGAGCCCAGUGAGACACCCAGCAGAUGGCCCUGCCUCCCACUCUCCAGCGCUCCCCUCUGCUUACUUUGUCGGCAGCGGUGAGGCGGGUCCACGGCUUAUCUGCCCUGCGGUCAUAGUCCUGAGCGUCAGCCACCUCCACAUAGUCACUGAAGCGGAUAAGGAUCUUCCUUUCCCGAAGCUCUUCCACCGUGGGCCUUUGACUGAGCUGCAGGGAGGGAAGAGAGAUGGACCCAGUCAGCCAGAGGGGUCGACCAUGGCACUUGGUCUUGUCUGUGAACUUGCAGGUGUGGAAAAUACGGCAAGGCAAUGGAUGGGACACACAGUGAGUGAGGGGCGGGGGCGGGUGGUGGGUGGGAGGGACCCAAGUCUCCUGACUCUUGGAACUGGGACCUUCCUAGAUCCUAAGAGAGAGCUUUAUUAUCCCUUACAUCCCCUCUAGGCCAAACUCUAACUUUUUUAAAACUUAAACAAAACCUUUUAUUAUGUAAACUUUCAAUAGAAGGAAGGAGGCUGAUAUAAUGAAUUUGGUGCAUUAUCACCACCUUCACCAAUUGUCAACUCUUGACUACAUCCACAUGUGGAUUUCUUUGAAACAAGUCACAGGCAUCAAUAUCAUUUUAUCUGUGUAUAUUUCAGUAUAGAAUAUCUAAAGAUUAGGACUUUAAAACAUAUUCACAAUACUGUUUAUACACCUAUAAAAAUCGAUAAUAAACAGUCUUUGUCUUCCUAACACUGCUGAGUCCUAGUCUUUACCAUAAGCUUGUCUUUCUGUUUGGCUGUGGGCACCUGUUGUGGAUUUUUUCUUAUCUAUCCUACUCCCACCAGGUGACAGGGACAUUCUACAGCGAUUCUGUCUUAUUUUGGAUUUGUGAGUCCACAUCUGUGUGUCACACUGAGUGCUUUCUGCAAGAUGAAUUUGCACUUGUGUGUGUUUUAGAUACAAAAAAGUGUACAUGCAAAUGGUAUGCAAACUCGGGGGUAUGCAGGGAUGGGAAUCUGCCGGUUGAAGAGGUCAGCUCAAACAUUACUGACAGCCCUCUGCAAGAAGUUCAAGGGGAAGGUCAGUCAACAAAGGUGGAGCUGAGUAAGUACAGAAAAAGGCACAUUUAUGGACCAGCCCUUGGGAUGGUCCAUGGUGAAGGGCUGCAGGAAUGAGGGAUGAAACAAGUAAAAGCAAGAUGGAUAAUGUAUUUUGCCAUGUCCCGAUAUUAUCCAUGAACACCCUUCCAAUACUUCAGUAACGUAAGGCUGAUAUUUCUAUUAUCUCUUCCUGUCACCAGGGUUAUUUCUCCUGGAGCAAUACAGUUGCUUCCUUUAGGAUGCUGCCAAUUGAUGUUCCACCAAUGUUAUUUAAAAGCCAUUUUCCCUCCAAGCCCUAGGCUAUGUGUAAUUCUAUUACUAGAAGAUAUGAUCUUAUAGAAUCUUGCAACUCAGGCCCACAAAACAAACACAAUGGAGUCCAAACCACCCUGGCGGUUCUGACUCUGCAUCAGGCAGCUGCCAGACACCUUGGCUGAUGUGAGAAUGUUCCAACUUGCUCCCAUGCUGGCAGACCACAAUUAGAAGAUGGCUGGCAGAUACCAGAUAAGAGUGGCAGAUGCUAUCACACCCUGAACAGGGCCAAGGCAGGCCUGUAGCUCCCUCUUGGCCAAGGGCAGGAAGCUCUGGAGAUCAGGGUUUCAGCAGGCUCUGGCUACCCCUUGCCUAAACUGCAUGUAGCCCUCCCUUGGCUUUCUUGGGCAGGACAACAUUCUGGCACCAGUGUGGGCCUGUUGCGGGAACCCACAGGCUUCCCAGGCUGUUAUGGCUGUGGUCACCGUAAACAAAAAUAGCGGUCAUCCUGACUCCAAAAUGUGUUCUCUGCAAUGUGAGUGCAGGGAGAUUUUGUGCUAUAAUUAAAAUACAUAAAAACAUGCAACGUUUGCCAUAUUUACUCUGGAUAAACAGACUCCUACUCAGGAUCCUGUCUGUGCUCCUCAGGACUUGUCGAGUUUACCCCAAGAGGCUGGACAAGGUAUUAUUUUCUUUCAUUUUUCUUUUUUUUUUUAGAUGGAGUCUCACUCUGCUGCCCAGGCUGGAGUUCACUGAUGCAAUGAUCUUGGCUCACUGCAACUUCCACCUCUUGGGUUCAAGUAAUUCUCCUGCCUCAGCCUCCUGAGUAGCUGGGAUUACAGGUGUGCACCACCUUGCCCAGCUAAAUUUUGUAUUUUUAGUAGAGGUGGAGUUUCGCCAUAUCGCCCAGGCUGGUCUUGAACUCCUGAUCUAAAGUGAUCCACCAUUCCUGGCCUCCCAAAGUGCUGGGAUUACAGGCAAAAGCCACCAUGCCCAGCCCAAGGUGUUAUUUUCUAAGUGCCCCAUGAUGUAAGAAAAGUUGUUAAGCCCUGAUUUUCAAAUUUCUCUUCCUGGAAAUUGUGACCCGGAUUUUACUAAUAUAGUAUCUAUGGCAGAGUCUAGAUGAACUGCAAAGCAAGCAUAAACACUGCAGGUCAGUGAUGGCUUCUUGUGUCUGAACAUUGUGGGGCCUUAGAUACCGCCUUUCCAAUCGAAGACCACACUGCACCCAAGUGCUCAGAGGGAAUGAGUGAGGAUGCAGCUGGCUGCUGCCCCUGACAGUUGCAGUUAGUGCACAAAUCCCAGCACUAACUAACGGCCACCAGGAUGCUCCUCUGUGUGCGUGGGCUCAUGCCGCUGACCACAAAGGGCUCAGAAGAUGCACCUUUGGCCGCUGCUGGCUGUAGCCCUUGGGGCAUCUGGCACCUGAGGCCUUUCCUUGAAUGCUGCAAAAAUAGUCUUUGCAGGCAAAGUCAGGUUUUCUGGGAAUAAUGGGCUGGUAGAAGGAGUAGGGGGCAGUGAGUGGUAGCAUUUGUAUUGUGUAUUGCAGCAAUAAUAUGUGCAACCAAUUUAAACAAAAGGAAAAAAAAGUAACUUAAGACCCAAAUUCUAUUUUCUUUACUCUGUCACCCACGCUGGAGUGCAGUGACACAAUCGCAGCUAACUGCAACCUCCACCUCCCGGGUUCAAGUGAUUCUCCUGUCUCAGCCUCCUGAGUAGCUGGGACUACAGGCAUGCACCACCAUGCCCAGCUAAUUUUUGUGUUUUUUAGUAGAGAUGGGUUUUCACCAUAUUGGAGAGGCUAGUCUCAAAUUCCUGACUUUAUGAUUUGCCUACCUCAGCCUCCCAAAGUGGUGGGAUUACAGGAGAGAGCCACUGUGCCUAGCCCCAGAUUCUACUUUGAAUACAACUUAAACCCAAAUGUAUUUUUUUCCUUUCCUCCUCCCUCCCAGGCACGUAUCCAUCCAUUCAUCCACUUAGCCAGCUAGCAUCUUUUUUUUUUUUUUGAAGGGGAAGGCAGGCAGGCAUGUUGAUUUUUGUUUGUUUUUGAGACAGAGUCUCACUCUGUUGUCUAGGCUGGCGUGCAGUGGUGCAAACUUGGCUCCCUGCAACCUCCGCCUCCCAGGAUCAAGUGAUUCUCCUGCCUCAGCUUCCCGAGUAGCUGGGAUUGCAGGCAUCCACCACCACACCUAGCUAGUUUUUUAUACAGGUGGUGUUUAAGCCUGUUGGCCAGGCUGGUCUCAAGCUCUUGACCUCGUGAUCCACUUGCCUCGGCCUCCCAAAGUCCUGGGAUUACAGGUAUGAGCCACCGUGCCUGGCCACAGGCAUGUUUUUUAAAAGGCAAAACAUGUACUUUUUAUAUUAGUCCCAAUUUGGUUGAAGAAAAUGACUGGUCUGUUGCUAUCAGCCUCAGUUACCAUGUUCAUUUUUAAUUUUUCUUACUAGUGCAUUACAAUGAAAUAGAACUUUAUUGAAGAAAUCCUUGGGCUGAGGAUAAGUCACUGAAAAGGAGCCACCACCACUGGUGUCUGGUCUCAGUGUAAUAAGGGCCCAAGAGGAAAAGAACCUGCACAGGGCCAGCAAGUGAUGAUGUAGGUUCCCUACCUGCUGGCAGGCAUCACAUCUCUGCCCGAAAAAGCAGAUGCAGAAGCUGCCCCUCUGUCCUUCCAGCCUCUCUCUUAGAAGCAGUUAUCCCCUUCUUUCAGGCUCAUUAUUUCUAAUUCCCCCAGCCAGUCCCAGGGGAAGGCAAAUGAUAAAAUUCCAAGGCCAUUUCCCACGGGGAAGAAAGGAGAGGUGAGCAGGAGAAAGAGGCAAUUAUGAUUGUGGAGACCUGCAAAAAUUACGAACUAUUUGGGGUCCCCAUCCCUAGUGUUACCCACCCUAGGGAGAUGGGCAUGGAAAGGAAGACUCUCCUUGCCUAUUGCCACAUCAUGCAAUUAGUCAGGUUCUCCAUAAAAUCAUAUCAACUUUGUUAAGAGACAGGAAUUAAAUAAAUGUCUAAGUAUUUCUCUGUGACCAUCUUUUAGUAAGCAACCUUAAAAUUUGGGGAAUUUUGGGGGUCCAGCCACCAAUCCUGAAAAAUUUGAUGAAAAUCUGAUUUAAACAAUUUUUUUCCCUAAGUGUCUAGAUCUUUCUGUAUCAGAAAUGAAAGUUUAUCACAGUGUCUUCUUCAAAUCCUUGUCAUUUCAAGGACACCAUGAAAAAAAGCUAAUGCAUCUCCCCUGCUCUUCUCACUACUUAAUCUCAGUAAAAACUGCCCCCUGAGUCCAAAGAGUGGGUGGGCUUAAGGAUGUAAAGGGUCCAGCCUUCACAGGUGGGACAGCAACUGGUUGGUGAGGUCACUUAGCUUUCGCUCUAGUCUCCACCAGGCUGACGCCAGCCAGUCCUCUGGCCAUUCAGGUGCUUGUUUAUCCUGCUCUUGUUAAUUGGGUUGGCAUUUGGCUUGUCACCAGGUAUUUGGGAUGCUCUCAGGGAGAGAAAGUGUUGAGAAAUAUAAACCAUCACCUUAAUAAUUGGUAUGAUAUUUCAGGAUCUCUGAAUUUCUUCCUUUGUGUGAUAUUUCUGGGGAGAAGAAUCCACUAAUAAACCCUUUUAAGAUUAAUGUUAACGGGCCUCUUGACUGUCGCUAAGAUAUGAGUAUCUUUCUCUCAAGAUGGUCACUGUAGGAGGCUGAUUAAAAACACUCUGACUUCAUCAGACAGAAGAGAGUAUUACAUCUUGCAUGUCAUCAGUUAAUUAAACUUUUCAACAUCAUCCAGGAAUAGCCUUCACCAUGAGUUUAUUAUGAAAGAGGACACUUGCGUGGAACGAAUGCAUGAGGAGCUCCAGCGCACUGCCAAACCAUCUAUUUUGGGGGUUAAGAAUAUAUUAAAAUUCCAAUGUUAUGACUUUUAUCUAUGCCCUUCUCAAAUGUCUUCUUUAAAUUUUGUCAGUUCUUUCACAAUUUAGCCUAAUAAAGUCGCAUAGUUCUUAAUUCCUAGGGAAAGAAUAGUAUCUUUCCCUAGGAAUUGGGAAAUAGGGUUGGAAAAAAAAAAAGUCCAUACUUUCCCGGGGUCUUAGCAAAUAGUUGUGUAAUAUUUGAACUAGUAAUUUUUUUAGGGGGGAGGGGAGACAUUCUUGCUCUGUCGCCCAGGCUGGAGUGCAGUGGUGCGAUCUCAGCUAACUGCUGGACUCAAGCAAUUCUCUCGCCUCAGACUAACAUGUACCUGGGCCUACAGGUGCACAUCACCAUGCCCAGCUAGUUUUUGUACAUUUAUUUUAGCAGAGACAGCAUUUUACCAUGUUGCCCAGGCUGGUCUUGAACUCCUGGCUUCAAGCUAUCCACCCACCUUGGCUUCCCAAAGUACUGGGUUUAUAGGCAUGAACCAUUGCACCUGGCCUUUGAACUACUGAUUCUGAUUAUGAAUUUCCCAUUACUUAAUGGCAUUAUAGUGAAUUUUUUAAAACAAAAUAUUUAGUAUAAUCAAAAAUGUAACACAAUAGCCAUCAAGUUGUUUGGGAGUAGGUGGGUGCCACAAAAUCAAACAACAUUGAAUGCCACCAACCAAAAGGACCGGGUGGAGGGUCAUGAAGCUGAGUGGAGAGGUCUUAGAGGUAAGAGAGUGGUGCCCUCUGACCCAGGAGGAGAGGAACCAGGCAGCGAGGCCAGCAGAGGGCAGAGAUGUGGUGGGCAGCCCACCCUCUCCUGUCCCAGCUCUUGGCUUGGAGAACCAGCUCACCUUUCGGGUUAGCCUCCUCUUGAUCUCUCUCUUCUCCUCCUGUUCCUCUUGUUCAUUCCGAGCUGAAAGAAAUAUUUAAGAUGUUUUUUAUUUUAGUAAACAGUGCUGUGUGUACGGGGACAUCCUUUGGACCUUGGCAGGCUCUAGGCUAAGCAUCUCAGUUUGAAAAAGGGAAGAGGGCGCUCCUGUCCCCUCCCCAAGCUGCCCUUCUCUUUAUGGGGACAGUUUUCCAAACUACCUGCAUUGUUUCAAAUUGCUCCUGAGCAGGUUGACUUUGUCAUUUUGUUUUCUUUACAUCACAUGGGGUUUCAGGUCUCCAGGCAGAGAUGCUGGGUUGAGAAAUGUGGCUACAAGGGAGGAAGGUAGGUUUUUAUUUUUUAUUUUUAGACAAGGUCUCGUUCUCCUAAGCUAAAGUACAGUGGUGCAAUCGUAGCUCACUGUAGCCUCAAACGCCUGGGCUCCAGUGAUUUCCCUACCUCAGCCUCCCAACUAGCUAGGACUAUACAUGCACACCACCAUGCCUGGCUAAUUUUUAAAAUUUUAUGUUGAGAUGAGGGGGGGUCUCCUUAUGUUGUUUAGGGUGGUCUUGAACUCCUGGCAUCAAGCAAUCCUCCUGCCUUGGCCUCUCAAAGUGCUGGGAUUACAGGUGCGAGCCACUGCACAGCCCAAGGAGGUGGGUGGGAAUGUUGACACAAGGACACAUGGGCAUUUGGGGAGAUGUGAGGCUCCUUUCUUUGGAUAAGACUAGGGCUCACUCAUUCUCUGUUGAGCUCUCAGACACUGAAGGGGGCUCAUUUUGAUGUGGUCCUUGUGUCUGGUGCCCUGUGGGGGUAGAGAGAACAGACCAGCCUCAGCCUGAUGCAGGAACAAGACAAGGCAGGAGGAUUUUCAAAAUGCUCGCCUUUCACAAGCCGUGAUUCCAUCAAUUCUUUGAAUCUUCUGAGAAGUCCACAAAGCACAGGUGAGGCCAUAGUGCUUUGAGCACAGGGAUACAAUUGCCUGCAUUUAGACUCUUUAGGAGUGGCUCAGAAGAGUAGACUGCAGAGCCUAUAAGCUCUUGACUUAAUAUAUGGGUGACUUACUCAUCAGAUUUUUAAAGAGCUGUAGAUAAGAGAGUAUGGGGAAGGGGGCAGAUAAUUGAAGGGCAGAGAAUCUGGGCUUAUUUCUCCUUUUAAGCUAACUGGAUGACCUGGGGUAGACCGUUUCCCUUCUGGACCUUGGAAGAAUUCCUUGAUAUCUAUGAAAGCACAGAUAUCAGCAUAGCAUUGUUGGACUUGAAAAAGCUAUAGAAGUCAGCUUGUAUCGAAGGCCUGUGAUUCUCAGCCAUUAAAUUUCAAAUGGCGUUAGUAAAAGGAAAGGUUGAUUUCGGCAUGGGUGCGUCACAACUGCCUGGGACAGGUGUUCGCUCAUUCUGAAAAUCACAGUUGUUACAUUGUAUUUCGGUAACUUCAUUAGUUUGUUGUAUUGGUGCACACAUGAAAUUCAGGUAUGGUUGCUGACUGUCUCAGUGUGGGACAGGUCUUUAAAGAAGGAAACUGCUGUGCCUAGAAAGGGGUGGGGACCAUCUGAUAACUGAGUCACCUUCAUGCUAAAGGUGACUAUACCUCCCACUAGCACAAGUGGUGUGAGUUCAGAGCAGAACUCAGACUCCUGAGGGCCACCCCUCUGGACAUAAUUUGCCCCCCGACUACCUGUGGGCAGCAGGCUCUGCAGAAAAGCAGCACAAGAAACAGCCACAUCUUGCUGUCGGCUGAGGUCACCAGAGGUCCCUGCUCCCGCCUACCCUACAGUGCCUGAAACCUUCACCAUGAGCGAGCUUUCCUUUGGAUUUAGAGAUCCUAUCUCCCUCCUGGAGUUGUUUUUCUUUUAAAUGCAAAUUUCUCUUGAAUAAAAGCCCAUUAAACUAGUCAGCCAUUAAUAGCUCAGUAUUAAUUAAUCUAGCAGAGACAAACUGGGGAGCCCCCACACAGUGACGUUUGUACAAAUGCAAAUUUCAGUGGGAUAAAACCUAUGAAACUAGUCAGCCAUUAAUAUCUUAGUAUGAAUUAAUCUAGCAGAGAUAAAUGGGGAGGCAGACAGCAAGAAUAGCAGAGAUAAAUGGGGAGGCAGACAGCAAGAACCAGAAGGAGGGAGCUCCCAUUCAGAGACGUCUCAGGUGGGAGGACAAAUGCAAAGAAAGGUGGUCUGGAUGCUGGGUCGCCGGGAGCAGCUACAGGGCCCAUGGUGAAAAUUUCAAAGGCACAAAAUACUAGGGCCAUGAAGGGGCCUAGUGACCACCUAGUCUACCACUCCUGGUUUGUAACUGAGGAUCUGAAGGCUCAGGGGUGUUAAGAGGCUAGUCACACCCUACCUGGCUCAGUGGUUACACUGAUAGGCUUUUUCCUGUGGUCAUGUUUUGCAUGGGGCUGGCUCUCCUCCUCAUUACUAGCCUCAGACUUCUGACCCUACGGGAGCCAUGAAGGCAGGCAUUCUGUGACGCAGCUGACAGAGCCUGGAGCCUUCAUCUCCUGUGUGUGCUUCUUAGGUUACUCUGAGGGGUGGGGCCACAAGCUACCACCUACAGAAUCGAUACCUUUAGCUCAAAGCUAUUGACAAACUCAGGUUCGUGAACUCUCAGGCAGAAGGUACCAAGACAACCCCAUUAGGGAACUGGGAAGACAGGCCAGGAAUAGGCAAUUGGGAAGACAGGCCAGGAAAGGCCCACAGUAUCAUCAUUACAGCAGCCACCAUCAGAGGGUUCAUUAUGUGCUCAGAGGUGCACAGGGCCUCACUGGCAGCUGGACAGAACAAGGGCUGUUCCCAGGGCCAGGCAGGGUGGGGCUGGAAACCAACCCAAGGCUCUCCCAGCUCCAGGGCUGAGCCAUGACGUUUCCGUGCCCUGUUUCCCACCACUCAACACUGAGCAGUUCCUCAAUGACUGAAAAGCUCAGAAAAUCAGUUUUAGAACAAGCUGUUGGAGGAUGUUGUGUUAUACCAUUAGACAUUUCUUGUUUAACAAUUGCAAUAGAUUAAAUUAAAAAAAAUAGGAGAACACAGUUCCAGAAUACAGGGAAAAAUAAGAACUUAUGGGAAAACAAGUUGAUUUCUGGAAAGUUUCAAAACUAUGAAAUGAUCAACCUGUUUGAAUUGGUCAAGUAGUUCUUUAAUUUGCAACUAUGUGGCCAGGACAAGAGGGAUUAGGGAAGAGAAUAAAAGAGAACCAUGGGAACAAUCUUCCACAACUCCUUUUUAGUUCCCUGAAUCUAAGUUACCUGCUUAGAUGGCCGUAAAAACUGAAGCUCAACAGACUUGUGGUGUCCCAGGGAUCUGGGCAAGCCACAGGUGGGAACUGAUGCCUUUGAGAGAAUCCAGAACUCAGCUGGGGGAUUUUAGAUCUCUUUCCAGAAACCGAACUCCUGGUAUGAUAAGCACUAUUUUCUGAAACCUAAAUAAUCCCCCAGAGGCUUUUAGCUUCUUUGAGUUUAGGCCUCAGGUCAGAGGCCACAAAUACAGCAGGGGCACAAGUUCACCUGGCUGUUUAUCUUUCUCUCCAAAAAUGGAAAGUUUAUAAUGGCUCAGGUACCAGAUUGGGGCAUAAAAAAAGACAUCAUACAGCCCAGUUGCUUCUCUGACUUUGGAAAUCCUUUGUAAAGCUCUAAAUUCAUUAUAGAGAAUAUUAAGCUUGGAAACUUUUAAGGGGUACCCCUUGGGCAGAAAAAAGUAAACGCCCAUUCCUAGAGACCUAGGAAGUGCGUAGGGCGCACCUAGGACUGACAAAGGCCAAUCCCGAAAACAACUUCCACUGAGAGUUAAGGCCGUGGCCGUUGGCAUGGGGCGGGAGGCAGGAUGUUGAUAAAGGCAAACUUGACAUAAAUGGACAUGUGGGGGCGUUGGGGGUGGGAGUGGAUGCUGCAGGCAACAGGGCCCCCCCAUCAGAACAGAACCCAGCACCUUAUCCUUAGCAGACCACGAAAUGCCAACCAAGUCACAAGGCUACAGUGAGCAUGGUGGGACAGUGAAGUGAAGACUAUGUUAGUGUGGUUACAGUGGAAAUACCCUGGAAACUCACACUGCGGUUGCAUGUGACUGACUGGGUGGGGGAGUGGGAAGCGGUGUCUGCGUCUGUACAACAUAGCAUUUCUAGAAAACUCUGCAUAGUAUAUAUCUUUCUUUUCUGGAGAGAAAUUACUAGCGUGUUGUGGGGUAGGGGGAACAGGGUAAUGAAUUAAGUGAGAAAUAUUUGUUAACUAUCUUGAGACAAGUGUUGGUGAGAAUGGUAGCACUAACUGAAUAGAAUGGUUUGAUUUUUAAAUUAUUUCAUAUCUAACACUAAACUGAUGCAUACUGGUGUCCAUCAAAUGCUUGAUCUCUUUUAGUAUUUUUUUUUUUAGCACCAAGUGGAUCCUCUGUAUAUAUUCAAAUAUCUCUGUGUCCUAAACCAAACAAGGGGCUCAUUUAUUUGUUUCUGUCUGCAGCGUUGGUGAAAGGCACUUUUCCUUGAAUGGGUACAUCACACAGGCAUGCCUGGGACCAGCUGUGGGAAUCCUGAGAGACAGACAUGAAGCACUUCACCUGGAAAUGCUUUCUGAGUCUUGAAAUUUAAUGUUCAAUGGAAUGAGGAAUUUUUAUCAAGAGCAGCAGCUGCAAUGCAAGUCAUGCUUUCUAGGCUCGGUUCAAACGGCCAUUUCCCUUAUUUUAGGCGCCUGUAUCACAGUCUCCGUUUUAAAGCCAAUUCUGGUUUAAAGGUGACCCUACCCUUAAAAAUCAUUAAAUAAUAAGUGGUCUCACUCUAAUUUUUCAGCUUCUCUCUGACUCUACAACUCCCUAAAGGGAAGGUUCUGCCGGCGGUCUGUGAGCUUCUAAAGAACAAAGUGGAAUAAAAUUUGCCUUCUCUUUGGGGAGGUCGUCUUUGGUGUUCUAACAUGCACGGAUGAAGCCUCAAGCGUUAGAAAGGUUUUCAGUCGUUUCCGCACAGGCGCAAGUUAGAAACCUUGUGGCCUACCAUUAAAUAAUAACAAAAGCCACCACAAAACAUCAGCGAUUGCCAUGGGCUUAGUCACUUACGUUUCAAAAUGUUCCUCUGUUCCAGUUCCUCUGCAGUUGGCCUCUGGCUCAGCCGCCUACGGAAAAAAUCCAGGAAAAGUUUUUGGACCAUAUCAUAGCCUCCUUGGGUCAUUAAUCUCCUCAGCCCUUGCAGAUACAUGAAACAGUCAGUGGCUGGAGUUCUUGUUCCAUCCUGUGUUCUGAAAGACUGACUCUCCCCACCACCGCCUCCUCAGUUCCUCAAUUUCAAGCCCAGGAGAGACCCAGUGGGAACAUAAAGAGGCCUGUGGCCACAGGGACAUGUGAGAGAGUGUGUCUGUCUGCAAAGAACAAUAGCUGCUCUUCUUCUGGUCCUGCUCUUCUAUUCGGAAGCCUUAGAAGACGUGAGUGACAGAGGAACAGAAAUGACACUCCUGUGGCCAGGCAUGAAGUUUAGCCACUAUAAUUCCUGGACCCCAAGGGACUCUGCGUUUGAGACCCCUGGAUGAGAUCAUCAAGUGAUAAGAAUUCCAAUUUUUGUUUUCCUAAGUCUUUCAUCUGCCAAUCUACCCAACAUGAACUAGGGGCCACAUAGAGGGCCAGGCAUGUUCUUACAGGGCUCACAGACUAGAGGUGCACAUCUGUGAUUACAAUGUGCGUGGUAAAACUGGAUCAGCAGUUUGGAAUGUAAUAAAAUAUCCUCAAAACAAUAAGCAAGUUGGGCAUGACUUAGACUUUCACUGCCCAUGUAGAAGGGACUAUAUACAUUCUUGCACAUCUCAGUUGGAUAUCAAGAGCUGAGUCAAACAAAAACCAUUCAGCAGUGGCAUGGAAGUGGGGGUGGCUGGGCAUGAGGCAAAACUGUGAAGGAGAUAAAGUGUCUGUGGUUCUGCCUUUACUCUGCUCUGUGGAGUCUUCCCCUCUCGAGUUCUUAGAAUUAUGUCAUCACUCUUGCUCUAUCUCAUUCCUGUCAAGACUUGUUUUAGAAAUCGGUGCCAGAGACUCAGCUACAUUCAAAUGUAAACUCAUUCAUUCAUUUAGCAAGCUACUUAUUAGCGCCAGCUCUGUGUCAGGUUCUGUGUUAGGUACCAGGGUACAGUGAUGAGCAAAACCAGUCCUUGCCCUUCUGGAAUAGAGACGAUUGGAAGGGGAUGGGGCGGGGGGGGGGGGGGUCGCCAUUAAUCAGAGUCACAGAAAUAAGUGUAAAAUGUAGCUGGAGUAAGGGCCUGGAUCUGACCAAAUAGGCUUCCAGGAGGAAGUGACACUGUGCCCAGAGCUCAGGGAUGGAAGAAGGAUGCUCCCUCUGGGCAGAGAAUAAGGGGAGAAGGAUGAUGGGAAGGAGGGCAGGGGCCAGAUGCUGUGGGUAUGAUUUGAAUCUGUGUCCCCACCCAAAUCACAUGCAAACGGCAAUCCCCAGUGUUGCAGGUGGAGCCUGGUGGGAGGUGAUUGGAUCAUGGGGGUGGUUUCUCAUGAACAGUUGAGCACCAACCCCUUGGUGCUUUUCUAGUGAGCGUGAGUGCAUUUUCGUGAGAUCUGGUUGUUUAAAAGUGCGUAGCACACUUCCCCCUUGCUCCUGCUCCCAUGUGAGACCCCUUUGCUUCCCCUGUUUUCCACCAUGAUUAGAAGCUUCCUGAGGCCUCCUCAGAAGCAGAUGCCAGCGUCACGCUUCCUGUACAGCCUGCAGAACAGUGAGCCAAUUAAACCUCUUUUCUUUAUAAACUCCCCAGUCUCAGGUAUUGCUUCAUAGCAGUGCAGAAUGGCCUAAUACAGCUGCUUCCAGGAUUUUGAUCUUCUUUUUCUAAGAUCAGUGUGAAGCCACUGAAGAAUUUAAGUUUUAGGGAGUGAGAGGAGAGGUGUGAAUGAAACGAUCAGACUUACAAUGGAAAAAGAUCACGCUGGUUGUUAUAUGGAGAAGGGAUUGGGGAAGGCCAGAGGUAACCUGAGGAGAGGCUUCGGGAAGCUUGGCACAGCUAGUAAGAGACAAUGGAGGCUUGGGUGAGGCUGUGCGGUGAUGUGUAAGCUUUUAGAAAGUCAUGUAGACACGGCAUAUGAGUGGACAGGAAGAAGCAGGUGUACAGAAUAUCUCCUUAGGUUUUCUAACUCAUGCAACUAGAUGGAUGGGAAUGCUGUUCACUGAAGCAGGGGCAUUACAAGAGGACCAGCGUGUUUGUGAAGGAAGAGUGGAAGAAAACCAUGAAUUUGAGUUUGGAUCUGUUACUCUGUUGUCAGAAUGCUCCUGAGACACAUGAAUGAAGCUGUCAUAUAGAUAGCCGGGUACGUUUAGCUCAGUGGAGAGGAGAGGUCUAGGCCAUUGAGGGAGUCUGCAAUAGAAACAAUAUUUGAAGUCAUGAGUAUGGAGAGAGUAGAGAAUGGGAAGAGGAGAGGGCUUAGGAUGGAGCCCUGCAGAAUUCCAGUAUUGAAUGCAUGGACUAGAUGAUGACCCUGGUGUAGAUUCUGAGGAGGGGCAGUUCUUGGAGGUAGGAUAAGAACUAAAAUAUCCUAUCAUGGAAGCAAAGUAAUGGGAAACCUUGCUUAGUAACUAAUGCUAAGGCUUUCUGAAGUGGAGUCAAAGGUUGCAAGAGGAUCACACUCACACCUGCUGAAGGUCAAACCAGGGGAUGUUCCAACAGACUCAGUUAAACAACUGAAGUCAGCAUCUGCUGGCCUUCAACACCUCAGCCGAGAGUACUCUCAUUAACUAACCAAUCACAACAGGCUUGUGAUUUAGGAUUUCUGCCUGGCCAAUGAACUACUUCUGAAGAUCACUUAAAAGUGUUUUGUGACAAUCCUCCAUUUAAAGAAAAAUCUCUCCUGCAUCCUGUGUUAUGGGGCACUCUUCAGGGCUGCCCUGAUUUGGUGUACCCCAACUGCCAUUCUUUACUUCCCAAAUAAGUGCUAUCUGCUUUGACCUCCAUGUCAAUCUUUUUGUUAACAGUAAGAUGAUAGGUAUGGUCAACAAAGAGUGCUGAGUGUUGGCUGGGCACAGUGGCUCACACCUGUAAUCCUAGCACUUAGGGAGGCUAAGGUGGGCGGAUUGCCUAAGCUCAGGAAUUUGACACCAGCCUGGGCAACACAGUGAAACCCUGUCUCUACUAAAAAUACAAAAAAUAUGGCCAGGUAUGGAGGUAUGCACCUAUAGUUUCAGCUACUCAGGAGGCUGAGGCAGGAGAAUUUCUUGAAUCCGAGAGGUGGAGGUUGCAGUGAGCUGAAAUCAUGCCACUGCACUCCAGCCUGGGCGACAGAGUGAGACUCCGUCUCCAAAAAAAAAAAAAAAAAGUACUGAGUGCCACUGUAAGGUUAGAUGAGGCCUCAAAAAAUGCCCACUAGGUUUACCACCAUGGAGGCUGUUACUGACAAUACCUAGAGCCCCUUCAGUGGGGUGGCAGGAAGAGAAGCCAGAUUGGAGAGGGCUGAGGUCAGAGUUGGGAAAGUGGAUGCAACAAGGAUGGAGGACUCGACCAUGAAGCCUGGCUUUGAAGGAGGUGAGAGAAGUAGAAGUGAAGGAGGCUGUGGUGGAAUUUGAUUUUACUUAUUUUAUUGUUUAUAUUUUUCAGAGAUGGGGCCUCACUCUAGUCACCCAAGCUGGAGUGCAGUGGCACCACCUUGGCUCACUACAGCCUCAACUCCCCGGGCUCAAAUGAUCCUCUCAUCUCAGCCUCCUGAGGAGCUGAGAUCAUAUGCAUGCAUCACCAUGCCUAGUAAUUUUUAAUUUUUGGUUGAGGUAUUUCUGUGUUGCCUAGGCCAAUCUCAAACUCCUUGGUUCAAGCUGUCCUCCCACCUUGGCCUCUCAAAGUGCUGGGAUUACAGCCGUGAGCUACCACACCUGGACACGUUUUAUUUUAUUGUACUUAUUUUAUUGUAUUUUUUUCUCAGACAAGGGCUCACUCUGUCGCCCAGGUAGGAAUGCAGUGGUGCCAUCUCAGCUUACUGCAACCUCCACCUCCUGGGUUCAAGCGAUUCUCUGGCCUCAGCCUCCUGAGUAGCUGGGAUUAUAGGCACGUGCCACCACACCUAGCUAAUUUUUGUAUUUUUAGUAGAGAUGGGGUUUCACCAUAGUGGUCAGGCUGGUCUUGAACUCCUGACCUCAGGUGAUCUGCCCACCCCUGGCCUCCCAAAGUGCUAGAAUUACAGCAUGAGUCACUGUGCCCAGCCCAAAUUUUAUUUUUUAAUGGUAGAAAAUGGGGCAUGCUUAAUGGAAAAGAAUCCAGAAUAGGUGGUGGGGGGUGGAGUUCAAUUACCUCAGCAUAGGAGGAAGAUAGAGACGGUAAGAGGCUUACCCAGUUAAGUCUGUUUACUCCAUAUUCCUUUGUCUCUGUUUACUCAUGUAAACUUUGUGCAGGAUGGUCCUCUCAGGGGGAGGUCAAAGGGGAAUUGCCCAUUAAUGGUGUUUAUUCUGGGCUCUGGAACCUAAAGCUUUUAUAAUUUGUAAAAUCAUUCUUUUAACUAUGUUAAUUAUCCACAGGUGUGUUGACUUAGAACCUCUGUUAUGAAAUCUUUACUGAAUAAAUGUGAGGAUGGGA